GGGUUGUGAGGUUAAGCGACUAAGCGUACACGGUGGAUGCCCUGGCAGUCAGAGGCGAUGAAGGGCGUGCUAAUCUGCGAUAAGCGCCGGUAAGGUGAUAUGAACCGUUAUAACCGGCGAUACCCGAAUGGGGAAACCCAGUGUGAUUCGUCACACUAUCAUUAACUGAAUCCAUAGGUUAAUGAGGCGAACCGGGGGAACUGAAACAUCUAAGUACCCCGAGGAAAAGAAAUCAACCGAGAUUCCCCCAGUAGCGGCGAGCGAACGGGGAGGAGCCCAGAGCCUGAAUCAGCAUGUGUGUUAGUGGAAGCGUCUGGAAAGGCGCGCGAUACAGGGUGACAGCCCCGUACACAAAAGCGCAUGUGCUGUGAGCUCGAUGAGUAGGGCGGGACACGUGGUAUCCUGUCUGAAUAUGGGGGGACCAUCCUCCAAGGCUAAAUACUCCUGACUGACCGAUAGUGAACCAGUACCGUGAGGGAAAGGCGAAAAGAACCCCGGCGAGGGGAGUGAAAAAGAACCUGAAACCGUGUACGUACAAGCAGUGGGAGCCCCACCACUAAGCCAGUGGUGAACUCCACAUCCGCAUCCUUUGCUGAGGAUACGGUUAACGGAGCGAAAGCGACGUUCAACCGCAAAACAAGCAGAGGGGGCUUAGUGGUGGGGUGACUGCGUACCUUUUGUAUAAUGGGUCAGCGACUUAUAUUCUGUAGCAAGGUUAACCGAAUAGGGGAGCCGGAGGGAAACCGAGUCUUAAUUGGGCGUUAAGUUGCAGGGUAUAGACCCGAAACCCGGUGAUCUAGCCAUGGGCAGGUUGAAGGUUGGGUAACACUAACUGGAGGACCGAACCGACUAAUGUUGAAAAAUUAGCGGAUGACCUGUGGCUGGGGGUGAAAGGCCAAUCAAACCGGGAGAUAGCUGGUUCUCCCCGAAAGCUAUUUAGGUAGCGCCUCGUGAAUUCAUCUCCGGGGGUAGAGCACUGUUUCGGCUAGGGGGCCAUCCCGGCUUACCAACCCGAUGCAAACUGCGAAUACCGGAGAAUGUUAUCACGGGAGACACACGGCGGGUGCUAACGUCCGUCGUGAAGAGGGAAACAACCCAGACCGCCAGCUAAGGUCCCAAAGUCAUGGUUAAGUGGGAAACGAUGUGGGAAGGCCCAGACAGCCAGGAUGUUGGCUUAGAAGCAGCCAUCAUUUAAAGAAAGCGUAAUAGCUCACUGGUCGAGUCGGCCUGCGCGGAAGAUGUAACGGGGCUAAACCAUGCACCGAAGCUGCGGCAGCGAACGUAUCACCCAAGACAACUUUACGGAGUUGACGAUUGACGGAGCGAAGCGACGUCAAAGCGUUCAUUAAAGUCGAGUUGGCUUAGGGAUACGUUCGUUGGGUAGGGGAGCGUUCUGUAAGCCUGUGAAGGUGUGUCGUGAGGCAUGCUGGAGGUAUCAGAAGUGCGAAUGCUGACAUAAGUAACGAUAAAGCGGGUGAAAAGCCCGCUCGCCGGAAGACCAAGGGUUCCUGUCCAACGUUAAUCGGGGCAGGGUGAGUCGACCCCUAAGGCGAGGCCGAAAGGCGUAGUCGAUGGGAAACGGGUUAAUAUUCCCGUACUUGGUGUUACUGCGAAGGGGGGACGGAGAAGGCUAUGUUGGCCGGGCGACGGUUGUCCCGGUUUAAGCGUGUAGGUGUGUGUUCCAGGUAAAUCCGGUUCACUUUAACACUGAGGCGUGACGACGAGGCACUACGGUGCUGAAGCAACAAAUGCCCUGCUUCCAGGAAAAGCCUCUAAGCAUCAGGUAACAUCAAAUCGUACCCCAAACCGACACAGGUGGUCAGGUAGAGAAUACCAAGGCGCUUGAGAGAACUCGGGUGAAGGAACUAGGCAAAAUGGUGCCGUAACUUCGGGAGAAGGCACGCUGACACGUAGGUGAAGUGAUUUACUCAUGGAGCUGAAGUCAGUCGAAGAUACCAGCUGGCUGCAACUGUUUAUUAAAAACACAGCACUGUGCAAACACGAAAGUGGACGUAUACGGUGUGACGCCUGCCCGGUGCCGGAAGGUUAAUUGAUGGGGUCAGCGCAAGCGAAGCUCCUGAUCGAAGCCCCGGUAAACGGCGGCCGUAACUAUAACGGUCCUAAGGUAGCGAAAUUCCUUGUCGGGUAAGUUCCGACCUGCACGAAUGGCGUAAUGAUGGCCAGGCUGUCUCCACCCGAGACUCAGUGAAAUUGAACUCGCUGUGAAGAUGCAGUGUACCCGCGGCAAGACGGAAAGACCCCGUGAACCUUUACUAUAGCUUGACACUGAACAUUGAGCCUUGAUGUGUAGGAUAGGUGGGAGGCUUUGAAGUGUGGACGCCAGUCUGCAUGGAGCCGACCUUGAAAUACCACCCUUUAAUGUUUGAUGUUCUAACGUGGACCCGUAAUCCGGGUUGCGGACAGUGUCUGGUGGGUAGUUUGACUGGGGCGGUCUCCUCCUAAAGAGUAACGGAGGAGCACGAAGGUUGGCUAAUCCUGGUCGGACAUCAGGAGGUUAGUGCAAUGGCAUAAGCCAGCUUGACUGCGAGCGUGACGGCGCGAGCAGGUGCGAAAGCAGGUCAUAGUGAUCCGGUGGUUCUGAAUGGAAGGGCCAUCGCUCAACGGAUAAAAGGUACUCCGGGGAUAACAGGCUGAUACCGCCCAAGAGUUCAUAUCGACGGCGGUGUUUGGCACCUCGAUGUCGGCUCAUCACAUCCUGGGGCUGAAGUAGGUCCCAAGGGUAUGGCUGUUCGCCAUUUAAAGUGGUACGCGAGCUGGGUUUAGAACGUCGUGAGACAGUUCGGUCCCUAUCUGCCGUGGGUGCUGGAGAACUGAGGGGGGCUGCUCCUAGUACGAGAGGACCGGAGUGGACGCAUCACUGGUGUUCGGGUUGUCAUGCCAAUGGCACUGCCCGGUAGCUAAAUGCGGAAGAGAUAAGUGCUGAAAGCAUCUAAGCACGAAACUUGCCCCGAGAUGAGUUCUCCCUGAGACUUAGAGUCUCCUGAAGGAACGUUGAAGACGACGACGUUGAUAGGCCGGGUGUGUAAGCGCAGCGAUGCGUUGAGCUAACCGGUACUAAUGAACCGUGAGGCUUAACCUUACAACGCCGAAG
rnacentral:rRNA from 2 species